rnacentral:piRNA from 1 species
UCAUAAGACGAACGGUUGCAGGGCGAA